GCACUGAUAACCAUUUAGUUUUGGUGGAUAUGAAGUUUAAAGGAACUGAUGGCGCCAGAGCUGAGAGAAUCCUAGAACUGAGUGAUAUUACAACCAACAAAAAUACCUGUCCAGGAGACAAGAGUGCUAUGGUACCAGGAGGAAUUAGAUAAGGAACACCAGCAUUAACGUCAAGAGGAUUUAAAGAAGAAGAUUUUGAGUUGGUUGUUGAUUUCUUUGACCAGGCCAUACAGCUGGGGCAAGAAGUAAAGAAGAAGACCA